GACGAACGCUGGCGGCGUGCUUAACACAUGCAAGUCGAACGAAGUGGCGAACGGGUGAGUAACGCGGAAUCAACCUGCCCUUCAGAGGGGGACAACAGGUGGAAACGACUGCAAAUACGGCAUAUGGAAGGUGGGGAUGGCGUGUGAUUGGCUGGUUGGAGGGGUAACGGCCCACCAAGGCGAUGAUCAGUAGCCUGUCUGAGGGGAUGAACGGCCACAUUGGGACUGAGACACGGCCCAGACUCCUACGGGAGGCAGCAGUGGGGAAUCUUCCGCAAUGGACGAAAGUCUGACGGAGCAACGCCGCGUGAGUGAUGACGGCCUUCGGGUUGUAAAGCUCUGUUAAUCGGGACGCGGUACCGGAAUAGAAAGCCACGGCUAACUACGUGCCAGCAGCCGCGGUAAUAC
rnacentral:rRNA from 1 species